rnacentral:tRNA from 1 species
ACGAAAGAUUGACGAUUGGUAAGAAUCCACAACAAGUUGUUCUUCAUAGAUGUAUCUGAGGGUCUGUAGCUCAGUUGGUUAGAGCACACGCUUGAUAAGCGUGGGGUCACAAGUUCAAGUCUUGUCAGACCCACCAUGACUUUGACUGGUUGAAGUUAUAGAAAAGAAGAUACAUAACUGAUGAUGUAAGCUGGGGACUUAGCUUAGUUGGUAGAGCGCCUGCUUUGCACGCAGGAGGUCAGGAGUUCGACUCUCCUAGUCUCCACCAGAACUUAAGAGAAGUUCGGAUUACAGAAAUUAGUAAAUAAAGAUUUGAUCUUGGUUUAUUAACUUCUGUGAUUUAAGUAUCACGGUAUUAAGCAUGACCUGACGAAGGCAUGUUUAUUCAUUAACAGAUUGGCAAAAUUGAGUCUGAAAUAAAUUGUUCACUCAAUAAUGAAGAGAGAAGAAGUAAUUCUGAUCUUGGAAUUAAUUGAGAACUAGCAAAUUAACUGAAUCAAGCGUUUUGGUAUAUGAAUUAGAUUGAAGCUGUACAGUGUUUAAAUACACAGUACUUCAAACUGUAAGAGAUUGAUGAGAAAUCAUUAAUCAUGUCUUAUUACUCCUUGUAGGUAAUAACGACUGUUGGGGGUUGUAU